rnacentral:rRNA from 1 species
GUGUCAGCAGCCGCGGUAAUACGGAGGGUGCAAGCGUUAUUCGGAAUUACUGGGCGUAAAGCGCGUGCAGGCGGCUCCGGAAGUCUGAUGUGAAAGCCCCGGGCUUAACCCGGGAAGUGCAUUGGAAACUCCGGGGCUUGAGUGCUGGAGAGGAAGGGAGAAUUCCCGGUGUAGAGGUGAAAUUCGUAGAGAUCGGGAGGAACACCAGUGGCGAAGGCGCCCUUCUGGACAGCAACUGACGCUGAGACGCGAAAGCGUGGGGAGCAAACAGGAUUAGAAACCCUCGUAGUCC